rnacentral:rRNA from 1 species
AGUGAACGCUGGCGGUAGGCCUAACACAUGCAAGUCGAACGGCAGCACAGUAAGAGCUUGCUCUUACGGGUGGCGAGUGGCGGACGGGUGAGGAAUACAUCGGAAUCUACUUUUUCGUGGGGGAUAACGUAGGGAAACUUACGCUAAUACCGCAUACGACCUACGGGUGAAAGCAGGGGAUCUUCGGACCUUGCGCGAUUGAAUGAGCCGAUGUCGGAUUAGCUAGUUGGCGGGGUAAAGGCCCACCAAGGCGACGAUCCGUAGCUGGUCUGAGAGGAUGAUCAGCCACACUGGAACUGAGACACGGUCCAGACUCCUACGGGAGGCAGCAGUGGCGAAUAUUGGACAAUGGGCGCAAGCCUGAUCCAGCCAUACCGCGUGGGUGAAGAAGGCCUUCGGGUUGUAAAGCCCUUUUGUUGGGAAAGAAAAGCAGCAGGUUAAUACCCCGCUGCUCUGACGGUACCCAAAGAAUAAGCACCGGCUAACUUCGUG